AAUAUAGUGCCUGACUAAAGGAUAGUUCUGAUACGACUAAUAAAGUAGCUAACCCUACCUAUAUUA
rnacentral:tRNA from 1 species